GGUUUAUGGGAACAGCCUUUGAGUCAUUUCUUGUUGCUGUGGUGGUCCCUGACAGAAAGGCAUUGGAGGAUUGGGCAGCAGAGCAUCAUUUGACCGAUGAUUUUAAAUCAUUAUGUCAAAACCUGAAGGCAAGAAAGUACAUUUUGGAUGAGCUCAAUAGUGUUGGUCAGAAGCAGCAACUUCGAGGUUUUGAGCUGUUAAAAGCAGUUCACUUGGAACCAAAUCCCUUUGACACGGAGAGGGAUCUUAUAACUCCAACAUUCAAACUGAAGAGACCACACCUACU